AGUCGAACAGCAGCACGGACUUCGGUCAGGCGAGGUAUGAACGGGUGAGUAAUGUAUCGGAACGUGCCUAGUAGCGGGGGAUAACUACGCGAAAGCGUAGCUAAUACCGGGCCGCCCUUCGGGGGAAAAGUGGGGACCUUCGGGCCUCGCACUAUUGUAUGGUGGCCGAUAAUGAUUAGCUAGUUGGUGGGGUAACGGCUCACCAAGGCGACGAUCCGUAGCUGGUUUGAGAGGACGACCAGCCACACUGGGACUGAGACACGCUCCAGACUACGGGAGGCAGCAGCGGGGAAUUCUUGGACAAUGGGAAACCCUGAUCCAGCCAUCCUGCGUGUGCGAUGAAGGCCUCGGGUUGUAAAGCACUUUGGCAGUGGGGAAAGAAACGGCACGGGAUAAUACCCCGUGCAACUGACGGUACCUGCAGACAAGCACCGCCAACUACGCCACAGCAGCCGCGGUAAUACGUAGGGUGCAAGCGUUAAUCGGAAUUACUGGGCGUAAAGCGUGCGCAGGCGGUUCGGAAAGAAAGAUGAACCCAGAGCUUAACUUUGGAACUGGCAUUUUUAACUACCGAGCUAGAUGUGUCAGAGGGAGGUGGAAUUCCGCGGUAGCAGUGAACGCGGAUAUGCGGAGGAACGAUGGCUAAAGGCAGCCUUCGGGAUAACACUGACGCUCAGCGCACGAAAGCGUGGGAGCAAAAUUGCGGAUUAGAUAAUUCUGGUAGUCCACGCUCUAAACGAUGUCAACUAGCUGUUGGGGGCCUUUCGCCUUGGUAGCGCAGCUAACGGGCGGUGAAGUUGACCGCCUGGGGAGUACGGUCGCAAGAUUAAAACUCAAAGGAAUUGACGGGACCUGCACAAGCGGUGGAUGAUGUGGAUUAAUUCGAUGCAACGCGAAAAACUCACUCUACCUUGACAUGUCUGGAAUCCCGAAGAGAUUUCGGGAGUUCGCAAGAGAACCGGAACACAGGUGCUGAAAAGGUCAGUCGUCAGCUCGCCGAGAUGUUAGGUUAAGUCCCGCAACGAGCGCAACCCUUCUUGUCAUUAAUACGCUGAAAGGGCACUCUAAUGACUGCCGGUGACAAACCGAGGAAGUGGGGAUGACGUCAAGUCCUCAUGGCCCUUAUGGGUAGUCAUACGCCGGUACAAUGGUCGGGACAGAGGGUCGCCAACCCGCGAGGGGGAGCCAAUCCCAGAAACCCGAUCGUAGUCCGGAUCGCAGUCUGCAACUCGACUGCGUGAAGUCGGAAUCGCUAGUAAUCGCGGAUCGCAGGUUGCAGGUGAAUACGUUCCCGGGUCUUGUACACACCGCCCGUCACACUAUGGAGUGAAGCUCUUACCAGAAGUAGUUAGCCCAACCGUAAGGAGAGGGCGAUUACCGGUAGGGGGAUUCAUGACUGGGGUGAAGUCACGUAACAAGGUAA
rnacentral:rRNA from 1 species